rnacentral:rRNA from 1 species
UAGGGAAUCUUCCGCAAUGGGCGAAAGCCUGACGGAGCAACGCCGCGUGAGUGAUGAAGGUCUUCGGAUCGUAAAACUCUGUUAUUAGGGAAGAACAAAUGUGUAAGUAACUAUGCACGUCUUGACGGUACCUAAUCAGAAAGCCACGGCUAACUACGUGCCAGCAGCCGCGGUAAUACGUAGGUGGCAAGCGUUAUCCGGAAUUAUUGGGCGUAAAGCGCGCGUAGGCGGUUUUUUAAGUCUGAUGUGAAAGCCCACGGCUCAACCGUGGAGGGUCAUUGGAAACUGGAAAACUUGAGUGCAGAAGAGGAAAGUGGAAUUCCAGGUGUAGCGGUGAAAUGGGGAGAGAUAUGGAGGAACACCAGUGGCGAAGGCGACUUUCUGGUCUGUAACUGACGCUGAUGUGCGAAAGCGUGGGGAUCAAACAGG